rnacentral:rRNA from 1 species
AUUGAACGCUGGCGGCAGGCCUAACACAUGCAAGUCGAGCGGAUGAAGGGAGCUUGCUCCUGGAUUCAGCGGCGGACGGGUGUGUAAUGCCUAGGAAUCUGCCUGGUAGUGGGGGAUAACGUCCGGAAACGGGCGCUAAUACCGCAUACGUCCUGAGGGAGAAAGUGGGGGAUCUUCGGACCUCACGCUAUCAGAUGAGCCUAGGUCGGAUUAGCUAGUUGGUGGGGUAAAGGCCUACCAAGGCGACGAUCCGUAACUGGUCUGAGAGGAUGAUCAGUCACACUGGAACGGAGACACGGUCCAGACUCCGACGGUAGGCGGCAGUGGGGAAUAUUGGACAAUGGGCGGAAGCCUGAUCCAGCCAUGCCGCGUGUGUGAAGAAGGUCUUCGGAUUGGAAAGCACUUUAAGUUGGGAGGAAGGGCAGUAAGUUAAUACCUUGCUGUUUUGACGUUACCAACAGAAUAAGCACCGGCUAACUUCGUG